ACAACGAAGAGUUUGAUCCUGGCUCAGGAUGAACGCUAGCGGCAGGCCUAACACAUGCAAGUCGAGGGGUAACAGG
rnacentral:rRNA from 1 species